GACGAACGCUGGCGGCGUGCCUAAUACAUGCAAGUCGAACGCAGUGGGGACGGGUGAGUAACACGUGGGUACACUCCCAUCAGAGGGGAUAACACUUGGAAACAGGUGCUAAACCGCUCCUGAUGGAUGGACCCGCGGUGCAUGCGCGAGUUGGUGAGGUAACGGCUCACCAAGUCACCGAGGCAUAGACGACCGGAGAGGGGGAUCGGCCACACUGGGACUGAGACACGGCCCAGACUCCUACGAGAGGCAGCAGUAGGGAAUCUUCGGCAAUGGACGAAAGGCUGACCGAGCAACGCCGCGUGAGUGAAGAAGGUUUUCGGAUCGUAAAACUCUGUUGUUAGAGAAGCGGUAUCUAACCAGAAAGCCACGGCUAACGACGUGCCAGCAGCCGCGGUAAUUC
rnacentral:rRNA from 1 species